rnacentral:rRNA from 1 species
AACAAACGCUGGCGGCGUGCCUAACACAUGCAAGUCGAACGAGAAAUCCCGAGCUUGCUUGGGAGAGUAAAGUGGCGCACGGGUGAGUAACGCGUGGGUAACCUACCUUUGAAUCUGGAAUAACCAGCCGAAAGGCUGACUAAUACCGGAUAUGGUUUUUAGGACUUAGGUUCUCUAAAUUAAAGGUGACCUCUUCAUGAAAGUUGCCGUUCAUAGAUGGGCCCGCGUACCAUUAGCUAGUUGGUAGGGUAAUGGCCUACCAAGGCGACGAUGGUUAGCUGGUCUGAGAGGAUGAUCAGCCACACUGGAACUGGAACACGGUCCAGACUCCUACGGGAGGCAGCAGUGAGGAAUUUUGCGCAAUGGGGGAAACCCUGACGCAGCAACGCCGCGUGAGCGAAGAAGGCCCUCGGGUCGUAAAGCUCUGUCAAGUGGGAAAAAAAUCUUUUGAUCAAUAGUCAAAAGACU